rnacentral:rRNA from 1 species
CUACGGGGCGCACCAGUGAGGAAUAUUGGUCAAUGGCCGAGAGGCUGAACCAGCCAUCCCGCGUGCAGGAUGACGGCCCUAUGGGUUGUAAAUUGCUUUUUUACGCCAAGAAAUCUGAUUACGUGUAAUUAGUUGACGGUAGCGUAGGAAUAAGCAUCGGCUAACUCCGUGUCAGCAGCCGCGGUAAUACGGAGGAUGCAAGCGUUAUCCGGAUUCAUUGGGUUUAAAGGGUGCGCAGGCGGGCUUGUAAGUCAGUGGUGAAAUACUGCCGCUUAACGGUAGAACUGCCAUUGAUACUGCAAGUCUUGAAUAUGGUUGAGGUAGGCGGAAUGUGUUGUGUAGCGGUGAAAUGCAUAGAUAUGACACAGAACGCCGAUUGCGAAGGCAGCUUACUAAGCCAUUAUUGACGCUGAGGCACGAAAGCGUGGGGAGCGAACAGGAUUAGAUACCCUAGUAGUC